rnacentral:rRNA from 1 species
GCUCGAAGAGCAGCUAAUACCGCAUACGACCUGAGGGUGAAAGCGGGGGAUCGCAAGACCUCGCGCUAUUGGAGCGGCCGAUGUCAGAUUAGCUAGUUGGUGGGGUAAAGGCCUACCAAGGCAACGAUCUGUAGUUGGUCUGAGAGGACGACCAGCCACACUGGGACUGAGACACGGCCCAGACUCCUACGGGAGGCAGCAGUGGGGAAUUUUGGACAAUGGGGGCAACCCUGAUCCAGCAAUGCCGCGUGCAGGAAGAAGGCCUUCGGGUUGUAAACUGCUUUUGUCAGGGAAGAAAUCCUCUGGGUUAAUACCUCGGGGGGAUGACGGUACCUGAAGAAUAAGCACCGGCUAACUACGUGCCAGCAGCCGCGGUAAUACGUAGGGUGCGAGCGUUAAUCGGAAUUACUGGGCGUAAAGCGUGCGCAGGCGGCUUUGCAAGACAGAUGUGAAAUCCCCCGGGCUCAACCUGGGAACUGCAUUUGUGACUGCAAGGCUAGAGUA